UAAGAAUUGAAAACAUGGACUUCAAGCUGUAUUAUAAAGCUGUAAUCAUCAAGACAGUAUAGUACUGCCACAAGAACACUCAGAUUAGUGGAAUAGAAAACAGAACUCAGAAAUGGACCCACAAACAUAUGGCCAACUAAUCUUUGACAAACCAGGAA